CCCUUAGACGUUCUGGGCCGCACGCGCGCUACACUGACGAAGGCAACGAGCUUUCCUUUACCGAAAGGUACGGGUAAUCUUUUGAAACUUCGUCGUGCUGGGGAUAGAUCCUUGCAAUUUUUGAUCUUAAACGAGGAAUGCCUAGUAAGUGCAAGUCAUCAGCUUGCGCUGAUUACGUCCCUGCCCUUUGUACACACCGCCCGUCGCUACUACCGAUUGAAUGGUUUAGUGAGAUCUCUGGAUUGACGCUGGCUAGGGGGCGACCCUUGGCCAGACUGUUGAGAAACUGCUCAAACUUGAUCAUUUAGAGGAAGUAAAAGUCGUAACA
rnacentral:rRNA from 1 species